UUUUCAAUGUAACUAUCUAGGAACUAGUAUAAUGCAGCAUUAUCUGACUGAUUUUAGAUGACUGUGGGGGAGAUAAUCAUGCCUUACCAAUCUUUCCUGCUUUUUGUUGGUGAAGGCAACCAACGAUGACUAAUUCAAAUGUCAACGUUUACACUGCAGAUGUUUACACUUGACCAAGAAACUCCUACUCAUGGAGACCUAAGUCCAACCACCAAAGUGUGAAAAAGAGUGAGACUAGUUCUGAUUGUAACAUCAAUCAGAUAAGGAGACAAGGACACAGGUACAACCAUCACCUCUAAAGGGCUAAUCUUUGUGUGGUGCGUGUCGAUUCCCAUUUCACAAUACCCACAUGUCACCUGGGGUACUCACAGGUCUACAGUCCAGAAGGGAAAUUACAAGUACCUCGUCAGACUGCACAUAUGCCAUGUGCUGCAGGACUUCCCAUGCUGGUGCUGGUGUUUCAAAUGCCACUGAGGAUUGACUUAAAGGCAAUGAGUGAAAGAAAAUCUAGAUCCCUGGAUGUUUUUGUUGUAAGCCCUCCAGUUUAAAAAUGGUCUUUUUCGUCAAGGUUGAAUGCAUUUAUUUUCUGCAUCCAGGAUUGUAAUUUAUUUGUUUUGUUUUUGUCUGCUAUAACACUCUAACAUCACAAAUCUUCCAUUCAGAUAUUUCUAAAUCUUAAUUAGAAUUCCUUAAAUU
rnacentral:lncRNA from 1 species